CUUUUUAACACUGUGAGUUUCCAUGCUUCUUGAUAAGUAUUACCCCUAUUCACAUGAUGGUAAAGGACCUAUUUUACUUUUAAGUGGUCACUAAAAACUAAUUGAAAGUAAACUAUAUUUUCUGGGACAUGUGUCUUGAUAAAAAACUAUUAUUAAUGUGAAAAUAAAGUAGCUGACUUUCAUACAAUGUAGGGAUACUAAUUUAAAUUUUAAAUCUGCUUAGUGUUGAGAAGAAUGUGUUUUGAAGCUACAGUUUCAUAAUUUGGAACUAGCUAGAGCAUCUGUUCUUUUGCAGAUAAAGGGCAAGUGAAGUCUGAAUCAAAACAACAUCAACCAUUAUUUUAUCUCUGUGUUGUUAUCAUUGUAUGUAUCCUCAUAACUUCUGUCUAAACUUUUGAAUAUUGAAACUGACUUGAUGAGAAAUAUUUUAUUCUUGCUUUAGGAUUUAAUUUGUUGCUUUCCAUUUAUUUGGCUUUCCUUCUUCUUCUUCCUGACCUUAGCCUUCUCUUGAAAAUGUAUAUUGUGAAACACAUAUUUAGUUAGAAGUCAUACUACAAAGAGGUACUUUUACAAAGUGCCAAUACUUCGGAAGAAAACCCUGUUAAUGCACUUAUUUUCCAUUCUUCUUCACUGCUUCCUUCCUCUCUGCAUUAAUUCUGUAAAUGGAAGUAUACAAAGGUCAUAGCAAGUCGUGUGUUUAAAAGCUUCUGCUUUAUGCAACCCAAGAAGUGCAGCACAGGCAAGAAGCACAUCCCCAUCACUGUAAUUUUUUAUCUUCUAAGGUUUCAUUUUCAUGCUAAAACAAAUAGCAAGGGUCAGCAGCUUCCAAACAGUUAUGCACCUCUCCAUGCCUCACUCUUUUCUCUUAAAUCUUCUACUUGGCUACAUCAGAGAGCAUCUCUUCAACUCAGUUCCUGGGGAAGAAUCCAGAACUGUGAGUUAGGUGGAAAGAUGUCUCCUCCCAUUCAGGAGAAAGGGUAAAGAUACCAGAAUGGGGCUGAAAAUGACAAAUUGAGUGAUGCAUCCAGCACAAGUCAAUGGGAAAUACUGAGAAUGGUGAGUUUUCUGAUUUCUUCCUAAUUAUUUUCAGGUCUGUGACUUCAGAUAGGGACUUAGCAGCAUAACCUUAUAAUGACUUCUGAUAACAAACCCAAAUAAUGGUUUUUACCAUGAACUCUGCAGUGCUUCUUAUUUAUUUUUUUACAGGAAAAGGAUGAUGCAUCACCUAUUUUCUGCAGUAAAGUUUAGUUACUAUGGACAUUCUGAAAAACAGAAGAAAAUUCAGUGAAAUCAGGUUACUACAAGUUCUUUGUAUUGCAUUUUGAAUAGUUUUCUUAAUCCUCUCAUCUGGAUCUAUCCUUAAGAAAGGUCACUAUUAUAACACUAUAUGUGUUUUAAAUUGUGCUUGUAUUGGUGAGAAGGUUGGAAUUAAACUAGGUAUCUACAACAUUUGACUGAAAUUUUCUUGCCUAUUUGAGUUGGAAAAUGUAAUCUGCAUUUAUUUGUUAAAUAAGCUAUGUUUAGCAUUAAUAAUCAGUAUAUUUCUGCAAUAUGUGAACUGUAGCCUGCAUCAGAAAGGCUGUGAAGAGAAAAGGAGGAAAGGUCAAACAGCUAUACUGAAGUUUGUAUAUUAUACUUCAGAGAGUGAGAUAAUAUUAAUGUGCAAGUAUUCAGACAAUAUAUCUGGGUUCUUAGAAGUGUGUCGCAUUUUUAUUAAUGUUCCCAUUUCAAAGCUUGGAUUUUCAUUGACAGCAUCUUAUGUAACCAUUAGGCAGGUGUUAAGAGGUCCACAUACUGUGAGACAGCAGGGGGAAAUGCCCUAAAAAUACCAGCAGUGAGCUAAACAUUCACUUUUCCCUGAUCUUUGUGUGCCCUCUCCCAUUCAGUUUCUGGCACAUAAAGUAAAAUGUAACCUGGAAGGAAGAAUGUGGUUUUGAAACAGGCAUUUUUCAGAAUGACUGAAACUUGCAAUUGCUCUCUUUGAAUAACAAUGAGCACAGACAAGAAGCAACACUGGGAUAAGUUUCCAUCUCUGGUAGCAGGACGAAGGGGGAAGCAAGUCUAAAUCAUAAGAUGAUGAAGGUAAGAAAGACAAUAAAUAAAAUCUAAUUAAUUUCUCUUAACA
rnacentral:lncRNA from 1 species